AUACCAUGUUGAGGACACUUUCAGAGCAUCUCCUUGAACCGUUCCCACGCCUCAUAUAAUUGUUCAUACUCAAAUUGCCAAAAUUGAGUGAUCUCGGCCCUCAGUUG
rfam:Morus notabilis contig12081, whole genome shotgun sequence.